rnacentral:rRNA from 1 species
CCUACGGGAGGCUGCAGUAGGGAAUCUUCCACAAUGGGCGAAAGCCUGAUGGAGCAACGCCGCGUGGGUGAAGAAGGUCUUCGGAUCGUAAAACCCUGUUGUUAGAGACGAAAGUGCGUGAGAGUAACUGUUCACGUUUCGACGGUAUCUAACCAGAAAGCCACGGCUAACUACGUGCCCGCAGCCGCGGUAAUACGUAGGUGGCAAGCGUUCUCCGGAUUUAUUGGGCGUAAAGGGCACGCAGGCGGUCUUUUAAGUCUGAUGUGAAAGCCUUCGGCUUAACCGGAGUAGUGCAUUGGAAACUGGGAGACUUGAGUGCAGAAGAGGAGGGUGGAACUCCAUGUGUAGCGGUGAAAUGCGUAGAUAUAUGGAAGAACACCAGUGGCGAAAGCGGCUCUCUGGUCUGUAACUGACGCUGAGGUUCGAAAGCGUGGGUAGCAAACAGGAUUAGAUACCCCAGUAGUC